rnacentral:rRNA from 1 species
CGUGUAGGCGGUUUUGUAUGUCUGACGUGAAAGCCCCGGGCUUACCCUGGGAAGUGCGUUGGAAACUGCAGAACUAGAGUCUCGGAGAGGGAGGUGGAAUUCCAGGUGUAGCGGUGAAAUGCGUAGAUAUCUGGAAGAACACCGGUGGCGAAGGCGACCUCCUGGACGAUGACUGACGCUGAGACGCGAAAGCGUGGGGAGCAAACAGGAUUAGAUACCCUGGUAGUCC